GUCUGAAUUUAACUAGACUAAAAUAAGAACUAAGCCUUAUCCUGUACCAAUCAAAUCAAAUAGCUGGAAACCAAUAGUUGUCAUCUUUUCAAAUCAACCGUUCUAACCAUUAAUUAUAGCAGGUUUUCAAAAAAUGCAUUAACUUCUCAUCUGCUACUUUUCACUUCACAACUUUUCAUUUCUUCUUUCACUUAGUCUGGAGCUUUUGGCCAAAAACUCUCCACUGCUUGGCGAACUGAAUCUGGAAUUCCUCCCAUCAGUUGCUAUCUCGGAGUGCAUGACUGCCUUCGAUGCGAGGAUCUCCCCCUCCUCGUUCAGUACAAGCAAACCCGUAGUCGAUCUGGACGAUAGUCGGUCGAAGGUUGCGUCAAAAUAAACUGUGAUCUUUCCCCUUCUACAUAUCUGUUGAGUAUUUUCAGCUGGUUGAAGAGUAAAUCUUGUCUCCUCUAUUGCAUCCAGUUCUACCAUAACAAAAGAGCCAGAUCUGCUCAUCUGUUCCUUUAUCAUAGACCUAGAUGGACAUUAUUGAAAAAUAUGAGUGUUGUCCUUAUCUCCUUGGCGACAUCUAGGACAUUGGGCAUCCACCACAACCCUCUUGAGCCUAAGGUUGAGAAGAGACGGAAUGAAGUUCCAAGAUAUUCUCCAAACUGUAAUUUGAAUUUUUGAGGGGAUGCAUAAUUUCCAUAGUUUUCUGUAGAAAUUUUUAAUUUCGAUCUGUAAAAUAAUAGUAUUAGGAUCCAAGCAAAUUUCAUGUAAUAGUUUGUAGGCACUCCUAACGGAGAACUCCCCUGUCAACUCCCCUUUCCAUACUUGAAAAGCUUCAUGUGCUGUCUCCGCUAGCGGGAUCUUCAGAAUUUUUUCCGCUACAUCCAUUUGGAAGAUAUUUGAUCCCCUCUCCCAACCCUCUAGCAUAAUCCUUUCUCCAGAAGCCCUCUCGCAGCCCAGACACUUUUUUAGGUAAGCGAAGAAUUGCAUCUUCUUCUUCAUCAAGUGUUAAACCGGCGAAUUCUGAUUCCAUGGAUGUAGACAGAAAAACAAGAGGCGUUGAAAAUUGAUUUUUAAACUUAAUAAGAUUAUGGAGAUGGUAGCCGCCCAAUAAAGGAGACUCAAAACAGAAAAACCUAAAGGCUUGCUAGAGAGAGCAGACAGAGACGUGCUAGAGUAGCAGACUUGAAAAUCCUAAUUAAAUAAAAUUAAUUUGCAAAUAAAUAUGUUGAUUAAAAUAUUUAAAAAUAAAUUAAGAAUGUUAUAAUUAAUAAUAUCAUAUUUUGUUUUUAUAUAUAA